CUCAGUGCAUCGAGAUUUGUGCCCAGGCAAGGAUGAGCGAUAGAGUUUAUUGGGCAGUGGAUCACGAGGGGAAUGAGACCCAUCAUUAGAGUUAGAGAAUUUUGAAUGUUCGUUGAUUGCUUUGAUUGCUUCGGUUUCGGCUUUUGGAUGCAUUGAGAGAAAUGUUGAUUUACUGUUGGCUCCAACCUGUCAUGCUUCGGUGUCAAGACUCUCAUAUAAAUAUGUAAGUUAUCAAGGUCCGGGAUCAAAACUGCCUAUAUGAAGCUAUCUGACUGGCACAGUCAAACAUGGACUAUCAGUCUCGGCGUUGGUGGACUCUGUCAUGCGAUGACCGGUAACCUACUGCACCGCUGAGCUCCGGGAUCAUAGCAAAACUCCAAGUGAAGGGGGUGGUAAUGCUGGAUCCAAGGGCUGGGACUGGCACAACACCAUGGGUCAACAAGUGGUACAACUAACUAUGAUGGCUACGUGGGCUUAUUUAGCUAGCUACGAACUAACUUCUGAGGUAAUGGGAUAGACCCGAAGCUAGCUAGCUAACACACAAGGAUGGAAAUGCCCAACAAAAAGCUAUAAAAGUGUGGAGUCAAUUGAGGGUACUAUGUUUCAUGAAGCCAAUAGAAGACUGUUGCUCACUGAGAGGAGAACCACCUCAAUUCAUCAAGGCAUGGACCCUAUCAUGUGUUGAAAGCAUUCCACAUAGAUGUUGGCCAAUGUUGACUCUAAUGCUUCCUGCAGUUGUGUCAAGUUGGCUGGAUGUCCUUUGGGUGGUGGACCAUUCUUAAAUGGGAAGCUGUUGUGUGAAAGUGUUGUGUUGCAGUUCUUGACACAAACCACUGCGCCUGAUGCCUACUACCACACCACAUUCAAAGGCACUUACAUCAUUUUUCUUUCCCAUUCACCCUCUGAAUGGCAUACAUACACAAUCCAUGUCUCAAUCCAUGCAUACAUACAAAAUCCUUCUUUUACCUGUCUCCUCCCCUUCAUCCACACUAAUUUAAGUGGAUUUAACAGGUUACAUCAAUAAGGCAUCAUAGCUUCGAAAGAGCAGGUGUCCUUAAUGUUUUGUAUACUCAGUGUAUGUCUGCAUAGCGUUUUGUCUUCAUUUUGGCAGAUUAACUGAUGCUUAUUUCUGAAGAUGACCUGUUUAUUCUCCUUUUUUCUCCUCUGGAAUCAGUCAGGCAACAACCUAUACUGUACUGUACUGGGCCGGGCACCGGGUUCUAUAUGGAAGCAUUUUGGUUCAGUGAAGAAGAACCUCUGGGGUUUUUUAUAACUUUUAGGGAAUCCAUAUAUGAAGCAAGUGAUAGAACCCUUUUUGGUUUUAUAAGGAACCUUCUUUUCUAAGAGUGUGGCUAAUAAAUGAGGAAGCUUAGGAAGGAGAAAGCUGAUACCACUUAUGGAGGGGAUUUACUCUAUCAGGCAAAUGGGCAGACAAUGGUUCCUAGUUGGUGCCUGGAUUGCCUAGUCAAAUUGAAGUAUUAUUGACAAAACUUUACACUGCAUAUCUGCAUAUCAUUCUCUACCUUUCACUGGUGAACAAAGUCUUUUGGGGUCAAAUGAAGUGUACAUGAGCCUACCUCAUUAAAUCAAUUAUAUUACAAUUACAUCUGAAUAACACUGUAAGUGAGCCUGACCCAGGGUAGACAUACAGACAGCUAUUAACAGUUGAUUAUUAGUAAACAAGGAAGUCUUUUGUUUUUAUUUGACCAUUUCAAUUAUCCACCUCUCUCCCUCCCCCGCUCCCUCCUGGUACAGACAGACUACUGGAGCUUCCCAGAAACUGUAAUCACAUUCACUAUUAAUGAGACAUGUUCAUUCUGGACCCAUUUACUGCUCGUAAUAAUGCAUACUCUCUGGAAUUGUCUGUGGGUAUAUUACACUGUGUGCAUAUCAAACACACACACACACUCUCCAUGUCCUCCUGGAAGAGAGAUAUCUGGUGGUUCGGUCAUGUUGUCUGUCUGGCCUCAGGCUUAAUACUCUCCAGGAAAAUAUGAGAAUGUAUUAUGCGGGGGGGUGUCUCAGGGGUUGUUUAAGAAGCUAAAAGACACAGUUACAUCUCUACAAAUGGACAAUAAACUACUCUUCUCCUU
ensembl:lncRNA